GUUACUUUGCCCGUGGGUAGUUCCGCUUGCGCGUGCCACCGCGUGAUCGGAAGGCGUUAACGUGA
rnacentral:sRNA from 1 species